rnacentral:rRNA from 1 species
UUACGGUCAAAUCACGCUGAAAACACCGGUUCUCGUUCGAUCACCGAAGUUAAGCAUCGUAGAUCCAGGUCAGUACUUAGAUGGGGGACCGCUUGGGAACACCUGGUACUGUAAG